rnacentral:rRNA from 1 species
GAUGAACGCUAGCUACAGGCUUAACACAUGCAAGUCGAGGGGAAACGACAUCGAAAGCUUGCUUUUGAUGGGCGUCGACCGGCGCACGGGUGAGUAACGCGUAUCCAACCUGCCCACCACUUGGGGAUAACCUUGCGAAAGUAAGACUAAUACCCAAUGAUAUCCCACGAAGGCAUCCGAAUGGGAUUAAAGAUUUAUCGGUGAUGGAUGGGGAUGCGUCUGAUUAGCUUGUUGGCGGGGUAACGGCCCACCAAGGCAACGAUCAGUAGGGGUUCUGAGAGGAAGGUCCCCCACAUUGGAACUGAGACACGGUCCAAACUCCUACGGGAGGCAGCAGUGAGGAAUAUUGGUCAAUGGGCGAGAGCCUGAACCAGCCAAGUAGCGUGCAGGAUGACGGCCCUAUGGGUUGUAAACUGCUUUUAUAAGGGAAUAAAGUGAGUCUCGUGAGACUUUUUGCAUGUACCUUAUGAAUAAGGACCGGCUAAUUCCGUG